rnacentral:rRNA from 1 species
ACAUACGACCAUAGGGUGUGGAAAUCAGGGCCUCCCGUCCGCUCAGCCGUACUUAAGCCACACGCCGGCCAGUUAGUAGUUGGGUGGGUGAACAUCAGCGAAUCCUGGCUGUCGUAUGUU